rnacentral:rRNA from 1 species
CCUACGGGAGACAGCAGUGAGGAAUAUUGGUCAAUGGACGCAAGUCUGAACCAGCCAUGCCGCGUGCAGGAAGACGGCUCUAUGAGUUGUAAACUGCUUUUGUACGAGGGUAAACGCAGAUACGCGUAUCUGUCUGACAGUAUCGUACGAAUAAGGAUCGGCUAACUCCGUGACAGCAGCCGCGGUAAUACGGAGGAUUCAAGCGUUAUCCGGAUUUAUUGGGUUUAACGGGUGCGUAGGCGGUCGGAUAAGUUAGAGGUUAAAUCCCGAGGCUCAACUUCGGAAUUGCCUCUGAUACUGUUCGGCUAGAGAGUAGUUGCGGGAGGCGGAAUGUAUGGUGGAGCGGUGAAAUGCUUAGAGAUCAUACAGAACACCGAUUGCGAAGGCAGCUUACCAAGCUACUUCUGACGUUGAGGCACGAAAGCGUGGGGAGCAAACAGGAUUAGAUACCCUGGUAGUC